rnacentral:rRNA from 1 species
GUGUCAGCAGCCGCGGUAAUACGGAGGGGGCGAGUGUUGUUCGGAAUUACUGGGCGUAAAGGGCGCGCAGGCGGCCUGGCAAGUCGAGUGUGAAAUCCCUUGGCUUAACUGAGGAAUGGCGCUCGAAACUACCUCGCUGGAGGGCGGGAGAGGGAAGUGGAACUCUCGGUGUAGGGGUGAAAUCUGUAGAUAUCGAGAGGAACACCGGUGGCGAAGGCGGCUUCCUGGCCCGUACCUGACGCUGAGGCGCGAAAGCGUGGGGAGCAAACAGGAUUAGAUACCCUGGUAGUCCACGCCCUAAACGAUGGGCACUAGGUGUGGGCGGUAUUAAUCCCGCCUGUGCCGUAGCUAACGCAUUAAGUGCCCCGCCUGGGGAGUACGGUCGCAAGGCUGAA